UCCAAAAAAAAAUCUGAAUUUCUACAUACAACAUUUGACUGUCUAUCUUAUAUGAAAUUUUUUUAUAAUUAGUAUUUUUAAACAUGAUUAAUACUUUAUGCAUGAUUUGUCUUUUUAAUUUUUUUAUAAUUUUUUUAAAUAAGACGGACGGUCAAACGUUAAAUACGGAAACCUAGUGUU
rnacentral:pre_miRNA from 1 species